AGAAUGGAGUCGGUUAACCUGAGGGAUGUAUUGCCCUCUGUGAUGUUGACCGGACCAAGUGGGUGUGGCAAAACUACUGUUGCCAUGACUGUUGCUAGGCGCCUUGACAUGAAUGUCCAUAAAGUGAACUGCCACAGUUUAUAUGGGGAGGCAUCAGGGUCAAUAGAAGCAAGAAUAAAAAAUGUCUUCAAUGCAGCUAGUACCUUUGCUCCAUGUAUUCUGCUAUUGCACAGUAUCCAUGCAUUAGGAAAAGACAAGGAAAGGAAUGUAGAAGACCCUCGAGUGGCCGGAACCUUCAAGUCCUGUGUUGUGAGGCUGAGAAAGGAGUACAUAGAAUAUCCUGUGGUUGUCAUAGGAACAACCCAUUCCCCUGGCAACCUGGCAUCAGACAUCCAUGAGGCAUUCCUGCAUAAGGUGGACAUAGAAGUUCCCAAUGAGGAUGAAAGGGCAGAGAUUAUGGACGGUUUACUGCAGAAUGUGUCUUACUCUGGGGAUCUCUCGGGGCAGUACCUGGCUCAGAGGACAGCAGGAUUUGUGUUGGGUGAUUUGGUUGCACUUGUAGCUCAUGCUAAAAGAGAGGCCUACAGAGCAGUUCUAAAACACUGUAAAGGGAAGGGAGAGUGUCUGACUGUGGAGGAGGAGGAAGACAUUGCUACAGUGGGGACAGUGGUACAGCAAGAUCAUUUUGUGAAGGCUCUGGACCAGCUACAGGAGGCUCACUCAGACACCAUAGGGGCCCCUAAGAUCCCAGAUGUUUCGUGGGAUGAUGUCGGAGGUUUAGCCGAUGUAAAAUCAGAAAUUCUGGACACUAUUCAGCUUCCAUUACAGUACCCGGAAUUGUUGGCAGCAGGACUUAGACGCUCUGGUAUCUUAUUCUAUGGUCCACCAGGCACAGGAAAGACACUGCUGGCUAAAGCUAUUGCAACAGAGUGUUCCCUGAACUUUUUAAGUGUGAAAGGACCGGAGCUGAUAAACAUGUAUGUUGGUCAGAGUGAGCAGAAUGUUAGAGAUGUGUUUGAGAGAGCUAGAAGUGCCACUCCCUGUGUCAUUUUCUUUGAUGAGUUGGAUUCUCUGGCCCCCAAUAGAGGGAGGUCGGGGGAUUCUGGGGGAGUCAUGGACCGAGUUGUCUCUCAGCUUUUGGCCGAGUUAGAUGGCCUCAACAAGUCCUGUGAUGUGUUUGUGAUUGGUGCUACUAAUCGCCCUGAUCUGCUAGACUCUGCAUUACUUAGACCGGGCAGGUUCGAUAAGAUGUUGUACCUUGGAAUUCCAGAAGACAAGAACUCCAAACUUAAUGUAAUGAAAGCCCUUACUAGAAGGUUUCAACUAGAGGAAGAUGUGGAUUUAGAUGCCUUAGCAGAGAAAUGUCCCUCAAAUCUGACUGGAGCUGACUAUUACGCUCUCUGUUCUGAUGCCAUGCUCAACACAAUGAAGAGGAAAAUCCAGCAAUUGGAAGCAGGUGAAAGUGUCAAUGAGAAAGAAAUAUUAGUUUCACAACAGGACUUCAAUGAAGCUCUGGAAAAUCUAACUCCAUCUUUAACAGACUCUGAGAUACAAAGAUACCGGCAGCUUCGGGAUUCUUUUUCCAAUGACAAGGAUCAUCAGAUUCAUGACAAAUUAGUCACUGGUCAACUCCUCCCAGACAAUAUAGCUCAACGUGUUGAAUAUUGAAACCUCUCCAAUCCAAUCAAAAGCGAAUAAGAAGAAAUAUUUGGAAUGGAUAUUGGUGUAGACCAGUAUUAAAACUUGGGAACUAGAUGUCACCACAGCACUUAAUUGAGACUUUAAAAUUGUGUUAGAUUUUCCACAGGUCCUUGAGUACGGGGUCCAUUCCCCCCACCAAUUUAAACCCACAGGAAAGUUGACUUUUUUAAUAGAAACAUGUUCCAUUUCAAAUAUCUAAAAAUAAACAGAUACAGGUAAGGUAAAUCACCCCCCCCCCAUCCUUGCAUAUAAAAAGUCCUCUUUUUAUAUGUAGGUUGGGGUUGUUUUGAAUAAACUGUUUACUUUCAGAUAUUACUGAACAGAUGAACAUAACUUUAAAGGAAUUUUAUAUCUAAAAAGUCACCGGGGUGGGGGUGGGGGGUCUUAUCCUCACUCAAACACCUGUUGGAAUUUCUUGGAUGGUGGUCUACAAAGAGCGAGCUCACACAGACUGUACUGUUCCCUCUGUAUACACAUUAUUUUAUUUAUGUUGUCUGUGAUAAUUAUGUAUGAUUUAAAUAAUGGUUUGUAAAUAUUCUUUGAUGAUAACAGUGAUUUAGUUCUUUUAAAAGUCAUGUUUAAUUGUGCAUUCUGUAUCUAUAAAUAGUGAUUUACAAGAACAUGAAAACAAUGAUUAAACUUUUAAAACAU
rnacentral:misc_RNA from 1 species